CUCGACCCAGAUCGCUCCCGGCCCGCCGCUCACCUUGAAGUUGACCGGGUCCACCCGAAGCUUGUGCGCGUGCAGGUCGCUCAGGGCGGACAGCGCGUUGGGCAUGUCGUCCACGUGCGCCACGGCGUUGGUCAGCGCGUCGGCCACCUUCUUGCCGUGGCCCUUAACCUGGGCAGAGCCGUGGCUCAGGUCGAAGUGCGGGAAGUAGGUCUUGGCGGCCUUGACGUUGGUCUUGUCGGCAGGAGACAGCACCAUGGUGGGUUCUCUCUGAGUCUGUGGGGACCAGAAGAGUGCCGGCCCGCGAGCGCGCCAGGGUUUAUGCUUGGGGCGCGGGGGCACGCCCGGCCGGGCGGCGCUCAUUGGCUGGCGCGGAGCCCGGGGCGCGGCCUGGACCGCAGGGGAGUCCCGGGCGGGGCCUGCG
rnacentral:lncRNA from 1 species